UACAGAGGGUGCGAGCGUUAAUCGGAAUUACUGGGCGUAAAGCGUGCGUAGACGGUUAUCUAAGUCGGAUGUGAAAGCCCCGGGCUCAACCUGGGAACUGCAUCCGAUACUGGAUGGCUUGAAUUCGGGAGAGGGAUGCAGAAUUCCAGGUGUAGCGGUGAAAUGCGUAGAUAUCUGGAGGAAUACCGGUGGCGAAGGCGGCAUCCUGGACCGACAUUGACGCUGAUGAGCGAAAGCUAGGGGAGCAAACAGG
rnacentral:rRNA from 1 species